GCGUGAGAGACGCCGUUGUGCAGCGACGGAAAAGGAGGAGGGAAUAAAAGGAGGCGAGGGGGGCCGCAGUCCUUCCCCUGGUGCUCCUCCGGAGAUAUAUCGAUCCAUCUCUCUCUCUCUCAGGUAAAUUUCCGCGAAUUCCAGCCAAACUGCGCUGCAUUCCAUCCCCUCGGCUCUCUUCUUCGCUCUCCUAGAUCUCUUUCUCUCUCUUUCUCUCUCUCUCUCUCUCGAUCGAGCUAGGGUUUGUGAGAGAUCUGUCUUUGUUUUGUUUGAGAUCUCCUUGACAAAGCCGAAUUCCGUGGAGUUCUGGGCAUUUGGGUUUGAAUUCGACAGAAGUCUUCGAGUUGGAGGUGGAGCUUUCUCGCCUAGUGGAGCUCCGUGGUAUUGUAUACUAUUCGAUAGAGCGGAUCGCUUCCACUGUUUUCCACGGCGGAGGCUCGAGAUUGGAUCCGGAGGCCUUCUAACGGAAGGGGUUCAAGAUUAUUUGUUCUUGGAAUAGAUUUGCGUAAGGAUCGGAGGAUCUAUCGUGCCGAAACUGUGGGAGAAUUUUGUGGUUAAUUUGCGUGGCUAACUAUUUGAAAAGAUCAAUAACAAUCGAAGAGUGUAGUGUGGCGACGUACGGGGAUGGAGCUUCAAGGUAAGAAAGCAACUUACGAUUUCCUUUCGCUUUACAACAAGGAUUCGUCUUUCCCGCACCCAGAUCCAAGGCCUCCUUCCCAAGGCUUUUUUCUAACGACGCACGACUUCUUAAAGCCGCUGGAGCGGGCUGACAAGGGCCACCGACACGAGGCGGCGAGCGGCGAUGCCGCCGUCGGCCGUGUGGGCAGUGCGGCCUCGGUAGAGCAUGUUCUACCGGGCGGCAUCGGGACGUACAGCGUCAGCCACGUGUCGGAUCCCGUCCCCCUGGCCAUGGUGAAGCCGGAGCGCGGCACGUGCCGAGGCGUCGACGUCGAACGGAAACCCGAGGCCUAUUACGACAACGGCGUCAGUUACGGCUCCCCCUUCCCCGCUGCCGUCCCGGUCACGCUGUGGGACGAGUCCGCCGCGAAAGACCCCUGGUCCAGAGGGCAGUGGCCGUCUCCAUUCACCGCACGCGGCAGCGGCGGCUUCGGAACGCUCUCCGACUCCAGGAAUCACCCGGCGCUGGAGAAGAAGCGAUUGAUGGAGUCAGCGUCGAGAUCCAGCAAGGGCUUCGACGAGGAGGAGGAGGAGGAGGAGGAGGAGGAGUCCGGCAGAAGGGAGGGCUCCUCCUCGCAUAAAGAGUUGACCGUGAAAGUAGAUGGGAAGAACAGGGGUGACAAUGAUCAGAAGCCCGGCACCCCAAGAUCAAAGCAUUCUGCCACUGAGCAGCGGAGAAGGAGCAAAAUAAAUGACAGAAUGGACCAUGGAUCUGUCAUCAGAUUUCAGAUACUUAGGGAACUCAUACCACAUACCGAUCAGAAGAGAGAUAAAGCAUCAUUCCUUCUGGAGGUUAUUGAGUACAUCCGGUUUUUACAAGAGAAAGUUCAGAAGUAUGAGUCCUCGUACUUGGGAUGGAAUCAAGACAAUGCAAACUUAAUGCCAUGGGUAAAAGUCUAUUUUAGAUCAUUCUGGAAAAAUGCACGGAAUAAUAACCAGUCUACUGGGGAUGGUGUCUCGGAUCCCUCUCAAGUUAUCAGAAAUGGUUCUGCUUCCCCUGGAUAUAUGUUUUCUGGGAAUGACAAUAGCAUCCCAGUUGCACCAGCAAUGCUCUCAACUGCACAGACUCUGACUGAAUCAGAUAUGGCUGCUGGAGUCUCUCACAGAGCAGUGGAAACUCCUGCAAAUUUUGCAAAUGCAGAUAACAUGACAACCCUGGCCCAGCCACGAUGGUUAAGAUCAUCUGGUCAGCUUGACCAUGCUGUCAGUCAUGAGAUUUUGAAUGAACAAGAAGAGCUGACAAUCAAUGAAGGAACAAUAAGUGUGUCCAGCGCCUACUCCCAAGCGCUGUUGACUACACUAGCUCAGGUGCUACAGAGCUCUGGUAUAGAUCUGUCUCAAGCCAGUAUUUCUGUACAGAUCAACCUUGGCAAGCGAGCAAUUAAUAAGAGACUUGCUGCCACUUCCAAUGCCAAGGACCAUGAAGACCCUGCAUCUACUAAUCAAGCAAUGGGACACUCUACGUUGGGAAGCAAUGCCAAGCAAUCCUUGCAAACACGAAAAAGGAGAAAAACAAACAACAGCUAGUGCUAUCAUACUCGGUUUUAUAUUUAACUUUGUCAUGCCGCUGAACUCCUCAGAUGAAUGUAUAUUCUGUUUUGUUUGGCUUUUACUGCUCUUGGUGGACAGACAAAAUCUAUGGGGUAUUCUUUCAUUGGUGACUACUUUCCAAAAGAGGCUUCCAUUACAAAUUGUGAAGCUGCUUUUGUUACAGGCUUCCAUGCAUGAGAAGUUUUGUUCUGUCAAGGACUCCUGUUGUAAGAUCAGUAGAUGCAGCUCAAUUUAUGUGGAAUGUGCUUGAAUAUUUUUCGCAAUUUGUUCCUGCAGUUUUGUUGUGUUUGACAUCCAUGCAGAAGAGUUGAUUUUUAUAUAAUGCUCUAUUGGUAGUAAGUUGGACAUUUGUCCUUUUAAGGUCUCUUUCACAAGCAUUUUGUCGUCUAUGUAGAUUGGACAUGGAACCCUGUUCUUCGUUCUAUAUAAUACCUUAAGGGCUGCUCAGGAACUCAGGGCAUCUCUGA